GUCCUUGCGAGGUGGCAUCUAUUUUGACAAAAGUAAAGUUCAAGACGGUAAAGGAUUGGUGUGCGUCCGAUUAGCUUAGUUGGGACGGGGUAACCGGCCCCAACCGAAGGCGACGAUCGGUAGGGGGUGUGAGAGCAUGGCCCCCCACACGGGUACUGAGACACGGACCCGACUCCUACGGGAGGCAGCAGUAAGGAAUAUUGGACAAUGGACGGAAGUCUGAUCCAGCCAUGCCGCGUGAAGGAAGAAGGCGCUCAGCGUUGUAAACUUCUUUUGGAUGGGAAUAAUAAUGUCGACGUGCUCGGCACUUGAAGGUACCAUCAGAAUAAGCACCGGCUAACUCCGUG
rnacentral:rRNA from 1 species